UCUUUUUCCUCUCAAAUACGAUUUUGAAGCCCUACAUACCCAUGGAUGAAAUCAAAGAAUGACGUCUUUCGCAACCAUUCUUCAGCCGCACCGGUGAGUUUUGCAGCCAUAACGAACUGGUUUCGGCAACAUGUGUUUGGUUGGUGAAAAAGUGAGGAUGCUGCAAAGAAAAGACUUUGACUAGUGACCAAGUCUUUCAAAUUUGAGAGUUGUUUGUUGUGACAGGAAAACAAAAUCGGAAGUUGGGGAAGGAGGCUUUGAAUUUGCAGAAAAAGAGCAUCAAGCAGUUUUUUGUUACAGUAGAAAGAGAGGAAUGGAAGUUCGACACUCUUUGUGUACCCUUACAAUAGAGCAGAUUGUGAUCUUCUACAAUACGAAAUGAAAGAUUGAUUGGCCCUCUUGAAAAAUGCAUGAGAAUAGCUUCACCGUUUUAUCCAUGCAUGGGAUAUGCCUCAAAAGGAAUUAGAUGCAAUUAUGAAUGAAUUUCGGUCUGGCCAAACCUAAGUUCUUAUCACAACAGAUGUUUGGGCUAGAGGACUGGAUGUUCAGCAGGUUUCUCUACUGAUUAAUUAUGAUAUGCUCAACAAUCGAGAGCUUUUCAUUCUUCUCAAAGGAUGAUCUGACCGGUUUAGUAGAAAGGGUGUUGCAGUACUACAAUACACAGCUUCACAAAAUACCGAUGAAUGUUGUUGGCUUCAUUAAAGAUCUGUUCGAUGAUCUAUGUGUGGAAUGGAGAAGGAAAACAAACAAAUGAGUUUCGUAACUAACUCCAUAUAAUUCAUUCCAUGAAUAGAUGUAUACGCAUGCACAUGACAUGCAUUAUCAUCUUCUUCUCAUUGUCUGUAUGUCUGUCUUUGAAAAAACUCUGUAUUCAUUGAUGCUGCAUUCAUUACUACUAGUAUGAAUCCCGUGCUACGCACAGUAAAAUUAUGUUAGGUAUAUUGUAAUAUAAUUAUAUAUAUUUAUUUAUAUUUUAAUUUUUGUA